AGUGGUUAAGAGCUCAGAGUUUGGCUGCUAACUAAAAGACCGGUAGUUCAAAUCCACCAGCCACUC
rnacentral:tRNA from 1 species